rnacentral:rRNA from 1 species
UAGAGUUUGAUCCUGGCUCAGAUUGAACGCUGGCGGCAGGCUUAACACAUGCAAGUCGGGCGGUAGCAGGGAGAAAGCUUGCUUUCUCCGCUGACGAGCGGCGGACGGGUGAGUAAUGUCUGGGGAUCUGCCUGAUGGAGGGGGAUAACUACUGGAAACGGUAGCUAAUACCGCAUAACGUCGCAAGACCAAAGUGGGGGACCUUCGGGCCUCAUGCCAUCAGAUGAACCCAGAUGGGAUUAGCUAGUAGGUGGGGUAAUGGCUCACCUAGGCGACGAUCCCUAGCUGGUCUGAGAGGAUGACCAGCCACACUGGAACUGAGACACGGUCCAGACUCCUACGGGAGGCAGCAGUGGGGAAUAUUGCACAAUGUUUUUUUUUUCUGAUGCAGCCAUGCCGCGUGUAUGAAGAAGGCCUUCGGGAAAAAAAAGUACUUUCAGUAGGGAGGAAGGUGUGAGCGUUAAUAGCGUUCACAAUUGACGUUACCUACAGAAGAAGCACCGGCUAACUCCGUGCCAGCAGCCGCGGUAAUACGGAGGGUGCAAGCGUUAAUCGGAAUUACUGGGCGUAAAGCGCACGCAGGCGGUUUGUUAAGUUGGAUGUGAAAUCCCCGGGCUUAACCUGGGAACUGCAUCCAAGACUGGCAGGCUAGAGUCUCGUAGAGGGAGGUAGAAUUCCAGGUGUAGCGGUGAAAUGCGUAGAGAUAAGGAGGAAUACCGGUGGCGAAGGCGGCCUCCUGGACGAAGACUGACGCUCAGGUGCGAAAGCGUGGGGAGCAAAAAGGAUUAGAUACCCUGGUAGUCCACGC